UCUAAGACUAUAUUUAAAAACAGUUGUUUUUUUUACUAAAAGUUAUAAAAGAUUUACAUUAAUCUUUUAUCUAAUUACUACUUGCUUCAUUACUUGGCAUACUUUAUUGCUAUUGCAUUCUAGAGGGUAAGUAGUUCCAUUGCACUAACUUACUGGUUAGGUCUCACAGUUUUCUCUGAGAUCAUGGACACAUUGGCACAUACUCAAAGACCACAAAAGCAGUAUUGGAUAGCAGACUUGUUUUUUUAUUUUUGUAAUAUUUAAAUAUUUGAUUAUGCAUUAAAAGAUUUAUUGCAGGACAAAAGUGAAGCUGGCAUACUGCUAAAAAAAAUAAAUGUCCAUUAAAGUAUACCAUUGUCUUUUUUGUUUCUGAUAGAUUCGCAUAGCUCAAAACCUUCCAGCUAGUACACUGAGCACUAUGCUGGCAGAGAAGUUGGUUCGUGAGAGCAGCGCAAAGGUUAAUAAAAAAACACACUCCUCUAAUGAUUCAUUGAUUACAAAGUUUCUACACUCUAACGAGUCCAUCUCCUUACACUGUGAUCAAUAUUUGCAUAGUUUUCUUGUUAAAAAGUAAGUCAUGUUAAUUUAGCUUUGAAGCAGGCAAAAAAAUAUUAUUAUUUUUUAGUUAGUAGUACUAUGCUACCAGCUAAUGGCCCUUAAAUUGAAAAAUAUUAUAGCACACUAAAAGAUUCAACCCGAGGCAGUCAAACCAAACCCUCAAACAAAAAAUAAAUCCUUUGACCAUAUUGAAGUUUAUAAAUACACUUUGUCCAUAACAUAAAUAACAAUAUUUUUGAAAAAGGCAUUAUCUAGGCUCAAUUACUUCCACUAUUUAAUAGAUGUACUAGUAAGGCUACUAAUUACUACAUCUUCUAACCUAUACAGUGUAUAAAACAUCAGAAUUGCCAGACUAGCUUGAGAAUCAACAACGAAGGAACUUGUAUGCUAGCAAUAGUAACAUGAAUGAGACCCCAAUAAUGAUAACAACACAGUCUAUGAUUUAAGAACAUCAACUUCUAAGCCAACAUCAGUCCUCAAAAACUAAAAGAAUGGGUACUAGGCAAUCAGAAGACUGCUGUCCAGUACCAUUCAGCACAUCCAGCAACAGCUUGUUAAUAUAUUACAAAAAAAUGGGAAAUGCAACUAUCAACAAGAGAAAAAUGACAUCAU
rnacentral:sRNA from 1 species